UACAGAGGUCCCGAGCGUUGUUCGGAUUCACUGGGCGUAAAGGGUGCGUAGGUGGUGGGAUAAGUCGGGUGUGAAAUCUCGGGGCUUAACUCCGAAACUGCAUUCGAUACUGCCGUGCUUGAGGACUGGAGAGGAGACUGGAAUUCAUGGUGUAGCAGUGAAAUGCGUAGAGAUCAUGAGGAAGACCAGUGGCGAAGGCGGGUCUCUGGACAGUUCCUGACACUGAGACACGAAGGCCAGGGGAGCAAACGGG
rnacentral:rRNA from 1 species